CUCUGUAGCUCAGUUGGUUAAAGCGCUGCCCCGGAAUCGCAGGGCCGCGCAGGUUCAAUUCCUGCUAUAGAGG
rnacentral:tRNA from 1 species